rnacentral:lncRNA from 1 species
CGUGAUAAAAUCAACACGCUGAGUAUAAAACUCAGUGGUGCUCAUAAAACACAACAAACCAAUGUUGCGAUGGCAACACACUUAAAAUAUCAAUUUUCAUCAAAAGAUUUACAAUCAUAAAAUCAUUAACGCUUUAAUAUACAUUUACAUUUAUAACAAAAUGAUCAAAUAAAACUAUUAAUAUGUUAUUCGUUCAAAUCAUAAAUUCAUUAUUUGAAAUUGUAGUACACCAAUACAUAUACUGGUUAUUUAGAAAACCAUGUAACGUAAUAUCCUGCUUUGACAAUUCAUUUAAUAACAUAUAAUCAUUUAUUUCCAAGCUACCUGAAAAAUAUGUUUACAAGGGCUCACAUACACUUAGGAGAAAAAGAAGCAGAUAGGUUUUCAGAACAGAUUCAGAAUGGCCUUAGGUCGCCAACAGAUUCAGAACAUAUAGAGCGCGUCCGCCCUAACAGAACAGAAGGCACCCACGUGCCUAGCAUAUGAUCAUAGCUUCUUAUCAAAAUGNN